CAGAAAGAGAGAGAGAGAGAGAGAGAGAGAGAGAGAGAGAGAGAGAGAGAGAGAGAGAGAGACCCCAAAUAAAAGAUCCAAUCGAACAUGGGCAACCAAAAUGAAUAGACAUUCCCAGAAGUACAGAUGGCCGAUAAAUACAUGAAAACUGCUCAUCAUCGCUGGUUAUGAGAGAAAUACAAACUAAAACCACACUGACAUUCCAUCUUACUCGAGAAACAAUGGGCAUCGUCAAGAAAUCAAAUGUAACAAGUGCUGGAGAGGCUUCGGGAAAAAGGGACCCUUCUACACUGCCGACGUUUCCAAUGGCCGUUACUUGGCAGGAAAGCCUUUCCAAGAAUGCUACGGAGACCAAGAAUCAUAAAGGCAAGGUGCCAGGGUCCUUCAACAGCAAGAGGGCUGUCAUCCUCUGGAAAAGCUGAAAGUCAGGCACGCCAAGAGAGUGUGAUGUCUUGCAUUGGGAGAAGAAUGGCUCUGGGUCGCCCCAGGUGGAGCAGGUGUGAGGCCCCAAGCAAUCCCGGCAGGCCAGCCAGCCCCAGCCAGGAACCUUGACCUGCACCUAGGACACACGCCACUGCAGACAGACAGACUCUACGUGUGUGGCCACAGGGACACAACAUGCACCCUGAUCAAUUGCUCAUAAAUAAUGUUAUUGCUCAUAAUAAUC
ensembl:lncRNA